UCCGCCAGCCUGGAGGGUGGCCUGAGAUUAUGUAGGUGUGGGACCUUGAAGGCCACCUCAGUCCAGCCAGAUCGCUAGCCAGGCCACAGCCCACAGCGCACAGGUGCGGCCUCUGCCAUUCACAGGCCCUCGCCAGGAACCAAAGCCGGCCUCCUUUGCCAUAGCCAAUCCUCCUCAGGGCAGCCAGGCCCACAGGCCUCAGGACUACAGGUAGUCUCUCCGAUUUCACAGUUCCAAAGCCAGAGCGUUCCCUGAACCAGCGUGUGCCCCCAGGGCGCCUUGGGACCCGCAGCUUGGACAGAAGCAGCCGUGACGUGCCAGGCGGCCUGUGCAACCAGUCUCCAUGGUGCUGGAGUGGGCGUAGGGGGAGGACCCGAGUCUAUACCGGCGUCCAGCUGCGGUCAGGGGUGGCCGAGGCAGAGAGAUUUCCCGGCCAAAUAGGCUCAGGGUGAUCGCCCCCCAGGUCCCCCUUCGUCCCCCUCUCCCCUGCUUGCUAGAAAUCUCUGAGGGGCCCUACAGCAGUCGGCCAGGCUGUAAGAGGCAGGCUGCGGCUGGCGCCGGUCCCGGCGACCGCCACAGCGUGGCAGCAGCGAGCGCCAGCGCGGUCGCAAUAAAUAAUCCGCCCGCGGCAGCCGCAGUCAGGAAGCCAGAGGCCCUAGGAUGCAAAUACGCCGCUUUACCCGCUCUGAGCGCACCCAGAGCACAGGGGAACGUCCCAAACAUCCACAGCCCCUUCCUCUUUAUCUAAUGCAUACCAAGAUAUUGUCUCAAGAUGGGGAAACAACAACCCAAACCAAAAACAAACAAAAAGAACCUCGGGCUCCUUUCUUGUCUCUGUCCGGGGAGUUCCUGGGGCAAAUCUGGUCUGAUGCACACCUAGGCCGAGCUACAGUUCGAGCCUCCACGCUAAGAAAAGCCACCGCCAGCAGCACCCUCCGCGCUUCCUCCCCGGCAGCUCUACAGUCCUCUCCCUGCUCGCAGAAGGUGAGGAGUGCGGUCACCAGUCCGUUGCGCCAAGGUGGAUUGGGGGGGGUCCCCCUACCGCCCAGACUCGAUUUGCAUCCUUCUUUCCACCUUAGCUGCGGGCCCCUGCCACCCGCGCUAACACCAUAACGUCCUCUGCACCGAAACUUCCCACCAAGUAACACCCAAUUAACCCCAUCCUCUCCUCCAACACAGAAUUCCACCCACGCACCUAUUCCCUCUCCCAGCACUUCAGACACCUCUCUCAUCGAAAAACUGGGCGAAGGGAAGCCGGCAACGAGCGGAGAACUCUGGUCGAAUUAAUGGCGGCUCCCAGAAGCUCCUGCCCCUCUGACAGCUGUCGCUUGGGCAGCCCGAGAGACGAAUUGUCCUCCUUCCUGGUGCCAGAGGACGCAGGAAAUUAGCCAGGUUGUGAGUUGCAAAGCUGCCGCCAAGGCGCCGGGAACUGGGCGCGCCCCACCUCCAGCAGGAGCCACCAGGCCUGGUUUGGCCUGGGCUUUCCCUCGCUCGCCAUUGCCGGACAAAGCGCAGCCGAGCCGGGCUGGAAGACAGAGCUCCGAAGCAGGCAGGAUGGAGCGGAGCAAAAGAAUGCGGCUCUAUUCUCGCAAGGGAAAUUAUAAAAAAGUUCAUGUUCACGGUUCCCAUCCACAUGACCGACAGCGGCCAAUGGAAGGGCCGAACAACUCAUAAAGUUGUAUUGCAAAGUUGUAAAUUUUCAUAAACAACAACGGAUUUAUGACCCUUUCCCCAUCACUGAGAGGAGGCAGCUCUUACACCGGCGCCAUCUUACCACUGAGGCCGCCCCGACUAGGGGCCUCAGGUUUUAUAGACCCUUUUGGGCCGGGUUUUAUUAAAAGAGCCCUAAGAAGCGGGCCCAACCCAGGCAGGAACCUGGAGACGAGGUCUUACCGGCAGAACACAGGAUGCUCUGAGCUGCCACCACAAUCCCUCGCCCUUCGCCUCUCGCCUCUUCCCCGCACCCAGACGCCCCUGCCCGUGCCCUGGCAGUACAACCCAGCGGGUGUCUGCGGUACUAGCCCCUACCCGCGCCACCUACUGCAGUGUCGGACUCUGGGGCGCCCUCGCCUCGGCUGCAGGCGGGGUGGGGGCCUUAAAAAUCCCAUUUCCUAGCCUGGGGCUGGGUUCAGGGCGCCUGCGAAAUCCGGAAUCAGUCGCUGCGUAAAGCCCCUUUCCAAACCCACUGCGCAGUCUUAGAGGAAAGGGUGGGUUUGAAAUUUCCUCGUGGAAUUUAUGAAGGUUUUUAGGGAGGUUCAUAGCAUAACCUAUCUACCGAAGAUUCCGUUUUCAAGGAAUCUAGAUGUUAGCGCACACACAAAAACCAGAUAAACGUCUCUACACGGAGAAAGGCACAUACACAAUUACGCACUCAGGGACGGGCAUACACUCUAUUGUGGGUACAGAAUGGCAUGCAAUUAUGGACACACAGAAACACAUGCACCCAAUUAUGGACACUAAAAUAUACGCAAUUGUGGAAUUAGGAAAAAAUACACACACAGAUACAUACAGAAAAAAUAAGCACAUACUCAUACAAAUACACAUACAAAAUACAUACAAAGAGACAUGACGCCAAUACAUGGGCACCCAACACUUGGACCAUCACAAGGUCAGCCACCCCACUUUUGCUUCCUCACUGCCUCUUGCCCUCCAGCCAUGCUCACCUCCCCUUUCACGUCCCCUCUGGAUAAAGCAGUCCACAUUUUUCUUUGUCACCAAGCAUCUUUAUUUUUCUGUUACAUAAAACACAGUUAACUGGGCUGGGAAGUGUGCCUUCCCUGAACCCCAGGAUGUAGCUGAGGGAGAUACAGGACAACACGGGAGAUGAAGGGCAUUGAGGAAGGCAUUGGACCUCCCCACUCACUACAGUUAGCUCAAGACAACACACCAUGCUACAAAGUCACCCCAAUAACACAUUCUUUCCAAGUCAAGACGCUGCCCUACAAAUGAACUCCAAGACUAUAGAAAUGACCCAAAAAAUCUUGUUCAAAUAUACAGUAUUUGUUAUUAUAGGAAACGUCAGGGUGUACAUAUUUAACACAGCUGAACAGCAAGAUAGGGGAGCCAGAGGAAAGGACAGUGAAGAUGGGAGCAUCUCCACAGUCCUACUAAGCAGAAGCUAACCCAGAGGUCUGCAGCCAGCCCAGGAACAUUCCCCUCCAGAAGUGGGGGGUGAUGGGCCUGAACUUUGGGUGCCAAGCCAGAGAAGGAGGGAUUCUAGGGUGCAGCACUUAUAAUGCUUUUUGGAAUAAAUAUAUUAUUUUUCAAUUUAAAUAGAUGCCACUACCCUGGUCCUGGACCUCAGCACAUUCUCAGGGCAGCCUCAGGGACCCCAAAGGCUGCCAGCUAUAAGCAGCAGGGGUCUUUCCUGGGAGCAGUCGGCACUAGGUAGCAGGCAAGCCAGCCAGCACGAAAUAGGUAGUUUUAGGGGAGUAGGUAGUAUUGAGAUUCACGUUCUUGGGGGUCUGGGAGGGUGGUGCUGGGUGUCUGCCAGUGUUGGGAUACAUAGGGGCUUCCUGGGAAUGGAGGCCCUCUGGGGCUGGAUACAUAGGUAGUUUGGGGGUGCCUCAAGCGGAGGCCUGUGCUAGGUAGUAUUUUGGCCGCGCCAGCGCGGGGCUGGCUAGCCUGGGACUGGGGGUGUCUGUUGGGGUCGUCAGAGACGAGGGAAUCCAAGGCGACCUAGUCUCUGUGGCCGCUCAGUCCAGAAAAGUUGGGAGCUGGAGUGGGUGAUGGGGAGGGUAGAAUGCAGGUUGGGGACUAGGUUUUCUGUUUUUUUGUUUUUUGUUUUUUUUUUACAUUUUCUUUUAUUUUUUCCAUUUUUGUAAAUAAAAUCAGUGAGUCUCUUAAAGACGCUUUUCCGACUGUCCGGUGCAGCAAGGGCCCCGGCUCGGCCCCUCAUUCCUCCUCGUCUUCUUCAUCAUCGUCCUCCUCGUCGGCCUUGUCCGCGGCAGCGCUGGCGGUGGCAGAGGGCACAUUGCCCUCGGGAGCUGCGGCAGCAGCAGGACAUUCGUCCUUAUGCUCUUUCUUCCACUUCAUGCGGCGGUUCUGGAACCAGAUCUUGAUCUGGCGCUCGGUGAGGCAGAGCGCGUGGGCGAUUUCAAUGCGGCGGCGCCGCGUCAGGUAGCGGUUGAAGUGGAACUCCUUCUCCAGCUCCAGCGUCUGGUAGCGCGUAUAGGUCUGGCGGCCCCGCUUCCUGUCAGGUCCUGAGAACAGACAUGCAGACACGUGAACACAGGACAGACAAGCAGAUAGGGCACUCGUUAGGCUGCUGUCCCAGAGCCCGCACCUUCCUCCUGGCCUAGUUCCAGGCGGGCAUCCCCCUCUGCCCCAGGCCUCGAACAGAGAUAGGGGAGGAGGGAGAGUGUUAGGGAAAGACCCGAACUGCAGGGCCAGACGCGCAGGCAGCUCUGUAAUGAGCAAAGGCGCAGAAACCCAACUUUACAACGGACCUUUCCAGCCGGCUAAGCGUCCACAAUGUCCUGCUUCCCCUGACAAAGGGAAACUGUAAAUAUAGAGUGUGGGCAAGCGGGAGACGCUGCACUUUUGCCAUUCAAAGAUGAGCCCGGCUGUUCCCAGGCCUUGCUAAGCAAGUGGGCGACCCUUCCCAACAGCCUGAGCCCUUAUCCCCAGGACCUUCCUAGGGCACCCCGACCCUCUGUCUUCAUUUCCUCACGCCCAUCUUGAAAUGGCCCCGGGCACAGGGUCGCAUUAGAGGCCAUGGAGGGCUUGGCUCUCCCGGCUUUUGAGAAAGAAAAGCCAGGCAGCAAGGAAAAGGAGGUGGAGGGAGGGAGAGAAGAAAGGCAGGGAGGGUGACAGAGAAGGGAGAGAGAAUAGCGAACAAACUUAACGUUAAAAUUCUAAGGCAAAUGGAGUUAAAUAAAUUUACGAGGAUCGAACCCAUUAA